AUUCAUUGUUUAAACUAUCCUUGCUCAGAAUGAGCCAAUUCGCAAAGAUCCUAAGUUCCCCAAAGAAGCCAUUGAAAUUUUAAGUUUUUUU